AACAGGAUUAGAUACCCUGGUAGUCCACGCCGUAAACGGUGGGCGCUAGAUGUGGGGACCAUUCCACGGUUUCCGUGUCGCAGCUAACGCAUUAAGCGCCCCGCCUGGGGAGUACGGCCGCAAGGCUAAAACUCAAAGGAAUUGACGGGGGCCCGCACAAGCGGCGGAGCAUGCGGAUUAAUUCGAUGCAACGCGAAGAACCUUACCAAGGCUUGACAUACACGAGAACGGGCCAGAAAUGGUCAACUCUUUGGACACUCGUGAACAGGUGGUGCAUGGUUGUCGUCAGCUCGUGUCGUGAGAUGUUGGGUUAAGUCCCGCAACGAGCGCAACCCUCGUCCUAUGUUGCCAGCACGUAAUGGUGGGAACUCAUGGGAGACUGCCGGGGUCAACUCGGAGGAAGGUGGGGAUGACGUCAAAUCGUCAUGCCCCUUAUGUCUUGGGCUUCACGCAUGCUACAAUGGCCGGUACAAAGGGCUGCAAUACCGUAAGGUGGAGCGAAUCCCAAAAAGCCGGUCUCAGUUCGGAUUGAGGUCUGCAACUCGACCUCAUGAAGUUGGAGUCGCUAGUAAUCGCAGAUCAGCAACGCUGCGGUGAAUACGUUCCCGGGCCUUGUACACACCGCCCGUCAAGUCAUGAAAGUCGGUAACACCCGAAGCCGGUGGCCCAACCUUUUGGAGGGAGCCGUCGAAGGUGGGAUCGGUAAUUAGGACUAAGUCGUAACAAGGUAACC
rnacentral:rRNA from 1 species